UUAAGUAAACAUCGACUGACCUGUCAGGAUCCUCAGUUAUCAAAACAGUCAUCAUCAUGUAUUUUUUUUUCAUGCAUUUCCGAGGCGGCAAAUUAUAUGGGAAUACAAAAAUCGGCCAAGUGCUGUGGUGUUGGUUUAGAACCCCAUAAUGAUUGAAUCCGUCAGUGGCAAGUCCCAAUCUAACAUUUCGAGGAUCAGCAACAAACUUGGGGAACGUUCGAUCAAAC
rnacentral:lncRNA from 1 species